ensembl:lincRNA linc-51 ncRNA
GUUUUUAUUGACGGAACUCCGCUUUCACCUGCCUGUCCCUUGUGCACUCACAAAAUGAGAGGAACACCACUCCCAACUGACGCAAUUGUAAAAUUCGGAACUCCUCUUCCAACAGAUGCAGCUAAUUUUGGGUGAAUUUCAAAUAAAUUUUUUUGCCUAAA